AUUCGUACGCAGUCUGUUGAAGGUUCACGCCCAGGUUAUAGCUAAUUUUAGUGAGUGUUCUAGUUGAGAGUACCAGGAUCCCAAUCCUAGUUCUUGUGUAGAUAUUCAAUCAAGUGAUCAACCAUAUACUAAGUUUAUUGUUUGUUAUGUUCAUCGCGCUCUUGAACGCAUCAGUACCCAUAACUCCUAAUAGACGGCUGAUGAGGAGAAGGAAAAAAAGUGAUUACCCAUUUCAAGAACUUUUUGGAUAAUACGUCAUUGCAUGAGAUGAAUUAGAGGACAGGAGUAUACUGAACCUACAAAGGCUGGGUAGAGUUAGAAAUACAUCCAUCAAGGCAAUAACAAAAUCGGACGAUUUACUGAAGACAAUUAAGACUCUGAAGUGGAAGUGGGCAGGUCAUGAUUGGAGGAUUGCAGAUGGACGAAGACUCUAACUUUGUGGAAGCCAAACUGGUGGAAAAGGAAAAUCGGACAGCAACAAUUCAGAUGGGAAGACGACAUUGUAAGAGUGAUUGGGGAUAAGUGGGCGGUGUGUGCUAAAGAUAGAUAGGUGUAGGAACCUGGGAGAUGCCUGUGUCCAAUAGAGGACCUAACAUUUUUGAAUUUGAAAUUGAAUUCUGGACUUUAAAUAAUUCAAAGGAAAAAUGUACAUUUGAAUUCAGUAAUGUCGUAAUAAGUAUAGUUGAGUAUUAUCUUAGCAGAGAUGUUUAAUUUCUCAUAUUCUUUUUUCUUAUUGUAUAGUGUUCAGAACCAAUAAAUGCUUUAUUCAUUAUUUA